GGGGAUCGAGGACUGAGGGGUGCAUCUGGACCUCCAGGAGAUAACGGCAUUGGGUUCCCUGGUCCCAAGGGUGACAAGGGGAACCAAGGAAGACCAGGGCCCCCUGGACCAGUGGGUAGGGGUGAACCAGGGACACCGGGUCCGGCAGGGCCAACAGAGAUGCAAGGAUCUCCAGGGUUUCCAGGUGAGGGUCUCCAAGGACCCAAGGGUGACAGGGGGUAUGAGGGUCCCAAGGGUGGCCGUGGACCUCCAGGAAUUGGGUACAAAGGUGAUAAGGGAAACACAGGAGAUCCCGGGCUGCCAGGUUUGGUGGGGUUUCCAGGGGCAGGCAUCCAAGGAGAAAAGG